GUUCAAAGUAAACCUGCACAAGCUCAUCCUGUUUGCUCUUCUUGCACUCUACAUCAUUCUCCUCUCAAAAACCUUGGGUUUUUCAGGUCUGUAUAUGCAGAAGUUGCAGUCCCGACGACCUGCCAGUCCUCCGCCGCCUUCUCCAAGCGUGCCAUGGUCCCCCAAUCCUUAGUAGCCCUGGCUGGGAUUGUGUAUGAUCAUCAAUCCCUAUAUUGUAUUAUCUAAUAAUGAAUUCUCAUUUUCAGUCAUGUAACGAGAUUAUGAACAUAAAAUAAAGAAAUUCUAUGAAAA